rnacentral:rRNA from 1 species
CGAAAGCCUGACGGAGCAAGACCGCGUGAGGGAGGAAGGCUCUUGGGUUGUAAACCCCUUUUCUCAGGGAAGAAGCUCUGACGGUACCUGAGGAAUCAGCAUCGGCUAACUCCGUGCCAGCAGCCGCGGUAAGACGGAGGAUGCAAGCGUUAUCCGGAAUUAUUGGGCGUAAAGCGUCCGCAGGUGGCUAGUCAAGUCUGCUGUCAAAGGUCGGGGCUUAACUCCGGAAAGGCAGUGGAAACUGAAGCGCUAGAGUGCGGUAGGGGUAGAGGGAAUUCCCGGUGUAGCGGUGAAAUGCGUAGAGAUCGGGAAGAACAUCGGUGGCGAAAGCGCUCUACUGGACGGCAACUGACACUCAGGGACGAAAGCUAGGGGAGCG